rnacentral:lncRNA from 1 species
GGAAAUCUAGAACUGGGGAAAUUCUCCCAAAGGUACUAUUGCCUAUACAUAGGAAUAUGUGGUAAUAUGAGGAUUGGUUGCAUACACACUCUUGUGCUUCAGAAUUAAUUAUUAGGGAUGCUAGGAAUCGUAUGAACUCGUAGUUAAGGAUAGGCUUUCUUACCUGUGACAGCAGUAUUAAGUUUUUUAGAGAGUGGCAUUAACAUUAAUG